rnacentral:rRNA from 1 species
AUUGAACGCUGGCGGCAGGCCUAACACAUGCAAGUCGAGCGGAGCGGCGGACGGGUGAGUAAUGUAUGGGGAUCUGCCCGAUAGAGGGGGAUAACUACUGGAAACGGUGGCUAAUACCGCAUCCUGUCGGAUGAACCCAUAUGGGAUGAGCUAGUAGGUAAGGUAAUGGCGUACAUAGGCGACUAUCCGUACAUGGUCUGAGAGGAUGAUCAGUCACACUGGAACUGAGACACGGUCCAGACUCCUACGGGAGGCAGCAGUGGGGAAUAUGGGACAAUGGGCGAAAGCCUGAUCCAGCCAUGCCGCGUGUGUGAAGAAGGUCUUCGGAUUGUAAAGCACUUUAAGUUGGGAGGCGUUACCAACAGAAUAAGCACCGGCUAACUUCGUGCCAGCAGCCGCGGUAAUUC